UGGGCAACCUGCCCUCAGCUCUGGGAUAACUCCAAGAAAUUGGGGCUAAUACCGGGUAUGACCGCUGACCGCAUGGUCUGGUGGUGGAAAAGAUUUUAUCGGCUGGGGAUGGGCCCGCGGCCUAUCAGCUUGUUGGUGGGGUAGUGGCCUACCAAGGCGACGACGGGUAGCUGGUCUGAGAGGAUGGCCAGCCACAUUGGGACUGAGACACGGCCCAGACCUCCGUACGGGAG
rnacentral:rRNA from 1 species